AUUACUUUGGGCUCAUUUGCUCUCUGGACCCAAGCACUUGGCUCCUGGCUACAGAACUUGAAGUAUAAAGGUCUCCCUAAAGAGCAAGGAAAGCCCAAACUCACCGAUAGUAAAUGAAAGCCUUCUGAGAAUAAAAUCCUGAAGAAAACUGUACUACAACUAAAUUACAUGCUGUAUGAGCUUUGGCACUGAAUCUCACAAAGUUUAUGAAAUUACUGCACGCAGCUUCGUAAGGAAUCAUGAACAGUGAAGAAAGACCUGGCACUAAUUCACACCACACUGUGCUACACGGCGCUCCUGGCUGCAUCGCACCUGUUGAUGUUUAUGUGCCAAGGUACAUUACGCCAACUGCAAUGGCAAGGAAGGUACGGCUGCAGCUGAGCCUGCAAACAGGACAGCUGCAUCUCAGGGAGCACUGCUCUCCAGCAGCAGGCCAGGAACCCGCUUCGACCGCUGGAGCAAAAGUAGAGGAGUCCCUGCAGCAGCCUGCAAUCUUGGUUUAUCUGGGCAGCCAGUGUUCUGCAGGAGUGGCAGCAUAAGCUCCUUACAGAGACAAGCUUUCAGAUCCUGUAGGAUCUCAAAUAACUCUUCAGGAGCUGCUGUUCUCACUCAUUGCUUCUGGUAAAGCAGAUAAGAAAGGCAUCCAAUGAAAUGAUCAGGCAGCAUAUUUGAAACAAGUGAACCUGUUUUAAGAAGAACAAAAUGAGAUAAGAGCCUUGAUAAUUAAGUUAUUGCUGCUUACCUUUUGCUGAAUUCAAAGUCCCCUGCAUUAACAGGAGCUCAGGGAACAGCUUCCCUGCCUGUGACAUCCCAGCCAUUCAUCUGAGGUUUUUUGGAGCAUCAGUACUGAACCUCUACAGCAAGCUCAGAUAGUCAGCUCCAACCAGGAGUUUUCUCCCAUAGGUAAUUUCAAGCACUCCUGCUGCAGUUUAAAAUGGUGUACCUUUCUGUUUGGUGUCCUGAUUAGUGAGUAUCUACUGCACUGAAUGCAUGAUGGCUGUAACUGUAUCCAGGAGCUUUAAGAAGCAGCUGUAUUUUUAUUAUGAGCCCACUGUAAAUUGUGUGUCGUGCAGUAGUUUUCCCCUUAGCAAGGUCCCUUUUCUCACUGAAGACACCUGUGGUUGCAAAUCUAAUAGAACCUAAUAGAACUCGAUCCCGUAGCCGUAUAGCUCUCAAAUAUAGAUUGGGUGUGUCAGUAGGUUCAGAAGGUACUAGGAACAUAUGAACAUGCUCAGUAUAAAAAGCCAGAAUAAAACUAGUACUUCUUUCCUUUCUUUUCUCUUUUUAUUUUCCUUAGUUUCAGAUUUGUUCUACACAUCAAAUCUUUGCUCCCCAGACAAGGUUUGGUGAUGUCUCACAUGCAGUAGUAGUCUAAG